rnacentral:pre_miRNA from 1 species
CACAUGACCCUCCGUCCGGAAAUACUUGUCAUCAAAAAGAAUAAAAAGUGAUGUAUCUAGAUGUAUUUUAGUUCUAGAUACAUCUCUUUUUAUCCAUUUUGAUGACAAGUAUUUUCAGAUGGAGGGAGUACUUU